rnacentral:lncRNA from 1 species
UCACUAAACAUAGAAUACUGUAGAUGGUAUUAGCCCAAUCCUUCCCAUAAUAGGAAGACUAUGAUUCUUCCCGGAACCAACGUAGUUUAGCCUUCAAUUUUAUGGGUUUCCAGUUCGGCAAUGCUCUUCGGGAUUGCAGCCUCUAUUGUAGCCAUUUACUGGUUUUCCUGGUCUACAAUUUUCUUUGUUCUGUCCGUUGCACGGAGUUCCAUCUGCAUUCAUAGCACCAUUUGAGAUUGAAUUAUCAGCAUAUGAAGACGGUGCACUUACCAAAAGCGCAACAAUGCAAAGCAAAAGGAUUUUAUUGCAAGACUUCACCAUCUCGAAUGAACAAUGAGAUGGUCUUUUUGACUUGCAAUAUCAAAAUCC